AUACGUAGGGGGCAAGCGUUGUCCGGAAUGAUUGGGCGUAAAGGGCGCGUAGGCGGCCCGGUAAGUCUGAAGUGAAAGUCCUGGUUUUAAGCUGGGAAUUGCUUUGGAUACUGUCGGGCUUGAGUGCAGGAGAGGUAAGUGGAAUUCCCAGUGUAGCGGUGAAAUGCGUAGAGAUUGGGAGGAACACCAGUGGCGAAGGCGACUUACUGGACUGUAACUGACGCUGAGGCGCGAAAGUGUGGGGAGCAAACAGGAUUAGAUACCCUGGUAGUCCACACUGUAAACGAUGAAUGCUAGGUGUAGGGGGUAUCGACCCCUUCUGUGCCGCAGUAAACACAAUAAGCAUUCCGCCUGGGGAGUACGGCCGCAAGGUUAAAACUCAAAGGAAUUGACGGGG
rnacentral:rRNA from 1 species